rnacentral:tRNA from 2 species
GCGGCUGUAGUGUAGCUGGUUAUCACUUGAGCUUGCCAAGCUCAGAACUCGGGUUCAAAUCCCGGCGGCCGCA